ACGAGAAGUCUAAGGCGCUCGGGAGAACGGUGGUUAAGGAACUCUGCAAAAUGGCCCCGUAAGUUCGCGAUAAGGGGUGCCUCCGGUGGUUCACGCUGCUGGAGGCCACAGUAAAUCGGCUCCUGCGACUGUUUAUCAAAAACACAGGUCUCUGCUAACACGUACGCGGAUGUAUAGAGACUGACGCCUGCCCGGUGCCGGUAGGUUAAGGAAGACGGUUAUCCUCUUCGGAGGAGAAGCUGGCGACCGAAGCCCCGGUAAACGGCGGCCGUAACUAUGACGGUCCUAAGGUUGACGCACGUCACGCUCAUGACGCAGCCUUAAUAAAACUUGGCCAUAUGCUGGAAAGUCUGAGUAUCCCGCACUACUCGUGAAUUCGUAACGGAUUCGCAGUGAAAAUGUGACGGGUGCAGAUAAUCAGCAGGAAACCAAAGUUGAAUCUUUUCAACGAGUAGGAUCCUCAGAGACUAUACGCCAGGCACCCACUCCUUGGUUAUCGAGGGGCGAGUGAAGAUAUAGUCCGAGCUGCAUGGCGACAUGCAGAGGCUGACAGAAAUGAUCAGCCCACGCAUUGAGCAUCUCUUGGUCGAGUCCCAAAGACGAACCCAAGGCUUCUCUUGUAAGUUUGCUCGGCAAGCUUUUUGCUGAACACAUUUACUGCGUAGUAACAAAACUGAGCGAAGUUCCUUGUCGGGUAAGUUCCGACCUGCAUGAAAGGCGUAACGACUGAUGCACUGUCUCAACCAGUGACCCGGUGAAAUUGUAGCCGUGGUGAAGAUGCCACGUACCCGCAGUAUGACGGAAAGACCCCGUGAACCUUUACUGUAGGCUGAUAUUGGGCUGAGGUAUGUUUUGUGUAGGAUAGGUGGGAGGCUUUGAUGUGAGGGCGCCAGCCCUUGCGGAGCCAACCUUGAAAUACCACCCUGGAUAUGCUUUAGUUCUAACGUUGAUCCCGUGAAUCCGGGCAACGGACAGUGUCAGUUGGGCAGUUUGACUGGGGCGGUCUCCUCCCAAAGAGUAACGGAGGAGUACAAAGGUACCCUCAGCCUGGUUGGCAAUCAGGCGUAGAGCGCAAAGGUAGAAGGGUGCUUGACUGCGAGACAUAUAGGUCGAGCAGAGACGAAAGUCGGGCUUAGUGAUCCGGCGGUUCCGAAUGGAAGGGCCGUCGCUCAACAGAUAAAAGGUACUCUGGGGAUAACAGGCUGAUCACUUCCGAGCGUCCAUAGCGGCGAAGUGGUUUGGCACCUCGAUGUCGGCUCAUCACAUCCUGGGGGUGAAGAAGCUCCCAAGGGUUCGGCUGUUCGCCGAUGAAAGUGGUACGUGAGCUGGGUUCAGACCGUCGUGAGACAGGUCGGUCCCUAUCUGCCGUGGGCGUUCGAAACUUGAGCGGGUUCUUCUUUAGUACGAGAGGAUUUGGAAGGACGAACCUCUGGUGUCCCAGUUGUCGCGCUAGCGGCACGGCUGGAUAGCUAAGUUCGGACAGGAUAAACGCUGAAAGCAUCUAAGCGUGAAGCCCUCCGCAAGAUCAGGUUUCGUAAGUGCUAGACACGAAAGCCCCCUGGAAGACGACCAGGUCGAUAGGCUGGAUGUGUAAGCUCAGUAAUGGGUUAAGCUCACCAGUACUAACGGGCGAAGGCUUGGCCAC
rnacentral:rRNA from 1 species